rnacentral:rRNA from 1 species
GACGAACGCUGGCGGCGUGCUUAACACAUGCAAGUCGAACGAAGUGGCGAACGGGUGAGUAACGCGUAAUCAACCUGCCCUUCAGAGGGGGACAACAGUUGGAAACGACUGCUAAUACCGCAUACUUAAGGAGGGGAUUGCGUCUGCUUAGCGAGUUGGAGGGGUAACGGCCAACAAAGGCGAUGUUCAGGAGCCCGUGUGAGAGGAUGAACGGCCACAUGGGGACUGAGACACGGCCCAGACUCCGACGGGAGGAAGCAGUGGGGAUUCUUCCGCAAUGGACGAAAGUCUGACGGAGCAACGCCGCGUGAGUUAUGACGGCCUUCGGGUUGUAAAGCUCUGUUAAUCGGGACGCGGUACCGGAAUAGAAAGCCACGGCUAACUACGUGCCAGCAGCCGCGGUAAUAC